AGAACCUUACCAGCUUUUGACAUGUCCGGUUUGAUCGGCAGAGAUGCCUUUCUUCAGUUCGGCUGGCCGGAACACAGGUGCUGCAUGGCUGUCGUCAGCUCGUGUCGUGAGAUGUUGGGUUAAGUCCCGCAACGAGCGCAACCCUCGCCCCUAGUUGCCAUCAUUCAGUUGGGAACUCUAGGGGGACUGCCGGUGAUAAGCCGCGAGGAAGGUGGGGAUGACGUCAAGUCCUCAUGGCCCUUACAGGCUGGGCUACACACGUGCUACAAUGGCGGUGACAAUGGGCAGCGAAGGAGCGAUCCGGUGCUAAUCCCAAAAAGCCGUCUCAGUUCAGAUUGCACUC
rnacentral:rRNA from 1 species